UACGUAGGGUGCGAGCGUUGCCCGGAUUUAUUGGGCGUAAAGGGCGCGUAGGCGGCUCUGCACGUCCGUUGUGAAAUCGCCCGGCUCAACUGGGCUGGGUCAGCGGAUACGGCGGAGCUUGAGCAAGCUAGGGGGCAAUGGAAUUCCCGGUGUAGUGGUGGAAUGCGUAGAUAUCGGGAGGAACACCAGUGGCGAAGGCGGUUGCCUGGGGCUUUGCUGACGCUGAGGCGCGAAAGCUAGGGGAGCAAACAGG
rnacentral:rRNA from 1 species